UACUCGAGUGGCGAACGGGUGAGUAACACGUGGUGAUCUGCCCUGCACUCUGGGAUAAGCCUGGGAAACUGGGUCUAAUACCGGAUAGGACCAUGCUUUAGUGUGUGUGGUGGAAAGUUUUUUCGGCGUAGGAUGAGCCCGCGGCCUAUCAGCUUGUUGGUGGGGUAAUGGCCUACCAAGGCGGCGACGGGUAGCCGGACUGAGAGGUUGGUCGGCCACAUUGGGACUGAGAUACGGCCCAG
rnacentral:rRNA from 1 species